rnacentral:rRNA from 1 species
CCCUUAGAUGUUCUGGGCCGCACGCGUGCUACACUGAGUGGAUCAGCGGGUCAGGUUGCGCGAAAGUGUUUCCUAAUCUUGAAAUCCGCUCGUGAUGGGGAUUGACGGUUGCAAUUUUCCGUCAUGAACGAGGAAUACCUUGUAAGCGCGGGUCAUCAUCCCGCGCUGAAUACGUCCCUGCCCUUUGUACACACCGCCCGUCGCUCCUACCGAUUGAGUGGUCCGGUGAGGCUUUGGGAUCUGAGCAAAAAGAGCGUUUCGCUCAUUUGGCUCGGAAAACUCAGUCGAACCUUAUCAUUUAGAGGAAGGAGAAGUCGUAACA